GAUGAACGCUAGCGGCAGGCCUAACACAUGCAAGUCGAGGGGCAGCACAGAAACAGCAAUGUUUUGGUGGCGACCGGCGGACGGGUGCGUAACGCGUAUGCAACCUACCUUUAACAGGGGGAUAACGGAGAGAAAUUUCCACUAAUACCCCAUAACAUCGAUCAAGGCAUCUUGAUUGGUUGAAAACUCCGGUGGUUAAAGAUGGGCAUGCGUUGUAUUAGGUAGUUGGUGAGGUAAUGGCUCACCAAGCCUACGAUACAUAGGGGGACUGGGAGGUUAGCCCCCCACACUGGUACUGAGACACGGACCAGACUCCUACGGGAGGCAGCAGUGAGGAGUAUUGGUCAAUGGGCGCAAGCCUGAACCAGCCAUGCCGCGUGCAGGAUGACGGCUCUAUGAGUUGUAAACUGCUUUUGUACGAGGGUAAAGUGGGUUACGUGUAACCUUUUGAAAGUAUCGUACGAAUAAGGAUCGGCUAACUCCGUGCCAGCAGCCGCCGUAA
rnacentral:rRNA from 1 species